AUUGAACGCUGGCGGCAGGCCUAACACAUGCAAGUCGAGCGGAUGAAGGGAGCUUGCUCCUGGAUUCAGCGGCGGACGGGUGAGUAAUGCCUAGGAAUCUGCCUGGUAGUGGGGGAUAACGUCCGGAAACGGGCGCUAAUACCGCAUACGUCCUGCGCGUGAAAGUGGGGGAUCUUCGGACCUCACGCUAUCAGAUGAGCCUAGGUCGGAUUAGCUAGUUGGUGGGGUAAAGGCCUACCAAGGCGACGAUCCGUAACUGGUCUGAGAGGAUGAUCAGUCACACUGGAACUGAGACACGGUCCAGACUACUACGGGAGGCAGCAGUGGGGAAUAUUGGGCAAUGGGCGAAAGCCUGAUCCAGCCAUGCCGCGUGUGUGAAGAAGGUCUUCGGAUUGUAAAGCACUUUAAGUUGGGAGGAAGGGCAGUAAGUUAAUACCUUGCUGUUUUGACGUUACCAACAGAAUAAGCACCGGCUAACUUCGUG
rnacentral:rRNA from 1 species